rnacentral:rRNA from 1 species
GGCCCCCACGGCAGCCCCUACGCCGGCGGCACGUUCCCCGUCGACGUCGCCUACCCCAAGGACUACCCCUUCAAGCCCAUCAAGCUCACCUUCAAAACUAAGGUGUACCAUCCCAACAUCGGCCCGGAGGGGAAGAUGGCGCUGGACAUCUUCGGGAGGGGGUGGUGGCCUUCUCUCACGAUAAGGACGGUCCUCCUGUCCGUCGUCUCCGUCCUCUACGACCCCCUGCUCGACCUCCCCGUCCGCCACGACGCCUCCCGGCUGUACAAGCGCGAGCGGGGUCUCUUCGAGCAGAAGGCCAGGCGCUGGACUCGCAGGUACGCCUCGGCGCCGGCCGUCUCCUUCUAUCCGGCAGGGACCGAGCUGUUCGAGGAGCAGCUGGAGGAGGCGGCGACCAGUGGGGCAGUGGCACGCCGUCGUUCUUGUGGAGCAGGGAAAUGGCGUUUCUUCGGGGGCCGCCGCCUCGGCGCCAUCUAG